rnacentral:rRNA from 1 species
AUGAGGUGCGGUUUCAGUACUGCUAGGCAUGAGGAGGAGGAGAAGGUUAGCCUUGAUGGGCAGGCGGUGCCUCAGAAGGACACCUUUCGAUAUUUGGAGUCAAUGCUGCAGAAGGAUGGGGAUAUCGAUGAAGAUGUGAACCAUCGAAUCAAAGCCGGAUGGAUGAAGUGGCGCCAAGCUUCUGGCAUUCUGUAUGAUAAGAGAGUGCCACAAAAGUUAAAAGGCAAGUUCUAUAGGACAGCGUUUGACCUGCAAUGUUGUAUGUCGUUGAGUGUUGGCCAACUAAAAGGCGACAUGUGCAACAGUUAG